UAGAACAUAGCUUAAAAAAGCACUUCGCUUACAUCGAAUUGACGUCUGUUAAACCCAGACUGUUCUAAG
rnacentral:tRNA from 1 species